GCGCUUGUCAUCACCGCGUUCAGAUAUGAGUCUGCUGGAAGAGCAGCAAGCAGGGGUGUUGGAACUGGCUGCUGCUGACAGACCGAGCUCAGUUAAUGCCCGUAGUCCUGCUAGGCAACCUGCCCUAAUCUCCGCUAGCAUAUGGGUCCAUGAUUUCAAGAAAGCAAUCUGGAAAGCAGUGAGAAGUUUUUUUGCUGCCUAAGCAGAUGCAGAACAACAUUUGGGUACGUGUUCCCAACUGAAGAGGUGCAAGAGAAAAUUCAGGACAAGGCUCAGCCUUAGCGAGUCAGACAUCCGUGUCCAUGCCACCGCUUGCUGUGUACUGCAGAGUCUUUGCAAGGCCAAAGGGGAAACUUCCAGAGAAGUCGCAGGAGGUGAACAGUCGCAGGAGUGCCAGCAGAUUUUUGAGCAGCUGGAUAUAAGACAACAACUAGCUCCCACCAUAGUGCCAUUUGACUUGAGAGAGCAAUUCGUUGCUGAAUUGCUAUUUGCAAACAGGAAUCCAGUUUUACACUCUGAACUGUCCCCAGGAACUGGAGGUGGGAGGGUGCCGAGCUUUGUGAGCAGCAGAACUCGUAAUUGUACAAUUAAUUGAAAAAGAAGUCUCAGAAGAGUUUUCAAAGGAGUUUUGGCAGUUUUGAUCAAGAGCACAGUCCUGUGCAAAAGGAGCACCAUGAGAUCAGGACAAAGUUGAUAUGGAACAGGAGCAAGAAAAAGUUGAGAGUGUAGACUGAAACACUGUUUUUUGUUCUGUGGUGAAAAACUGGUAAGUCUAGCUAUCCUAAAUCUUCUGGUCGCGUGCUAGCAAUUGGCUUUAAAAUAAGCAAAAUAUGUUCAAUGAUUAUUCAAAGUACAAGUGAGAGAUAUUUCACUACACUCUUCAGAGGUGUAGUCAGUUCUCGUAUACUGUGUAAACACUUGCUGUAUGCACUAUCUGACUAAAUCUGGAAUGGCUGUGAUAAGACUGGUGCUAAUACAAGGCACUGUUUUUCAUUAUUGCUAAUGCACUUGGUAUAUUAGAAAUAGUGCGUGAAGACCGUUACAGGUGAAUCCAGGAGGGGGACAAAAGAGUAUCGUAAGACUUCAGUCUUCACCAGAAGGACGCUAAGAUAUUUUGUUUCAGUAUCAGUGACACAUGUGAGAGUGUGUAAGUUAAUUUACAGGAAUCUGAAUAGCAUUUAAACUGCUCAUUUUGUUUCUGCUAAUGUUGGGACCACAGUUAUUCAGUAAGUCAUUUACAAGAACAACCAUAAGAUGUCAGAAUUUCCCCAUGUUCAAGGUAAAUUGUCUGGAAAACUGGUUGUAGUUUGUACAGUCAAAUUCUACUGUCAUUUACAGAAUAAUUGCAUGUGUUCACAAACUACAAGUCAGGUUCCUGAAAAAUCAUAAUGUUGCCUUAUAUACAAUGAAUUCUUUAAGUAAAUUUUAGCUUUAGAAGAGGUUCAUUUGAUGACUUUUCACACCAGGGAUGAUGUGCAGAAGUAAAUGACAAUGCAUAUUUUUAUUAGAUAACAUAAGAAAGGAGAAUUUAACAAAAUGAUUUCAAAGACUGCAAGAUUCAGAGACAGCUUUAAUGGGGAAGAUCUGAAGGAAUGUAAACCUGCACAUCAUUCCUUGUUUUUUUCUCACCUGCCCUACUCCUGGGACCACUUAUAUAUUAUACCUGGAACAUGAGUGGUGCCAGUACAGGCGUACAAAGGGAAAGGGUCUCCAGAGGUGGCAGCACUGUUUUUUCUGGGUUUGAACUAGGGUAGCAUGAACCCGUGUCUGCAAUAACCCUGUCAUAGCCUGAAUUGUAUCACAGAAGUUGUAUACUGUAUGGUACUGCCCUUCCAAGGCAUGUGCUCUGGGAAGCAUACUGUACCCUUUAUGUCUCCUUUAUGCACAUUUAUUAUUAUUAUUAGUGUCUAUUAAUUUGGCUUAGGACUCUCAGAGCUUCCUCUGCCCCUUACAGAGGGAUCCUAGAAAAUUAUAAUCUCUCUACAGAAUUGUGUAUGAUAAAUUUAAAAUUCUAUUAUAGGAUACAUAAACUAGAACAUGUGGCACCAUGAAGGAAUGAAAUAAUUAAGGAUUUAUUUUUAAUAGGAAUUAAAAAAAAUGAAUUAAUGAAGAAUUAAAUGGACGCUUUUGCCUAAGGUUGACUUAUUAUAAGCAAUGAUUGUCAACUUCUGACACCACAGCUAUUUUAAGACAUCUUUCAAGUUUCAUUUGAGAUACCAACAUCAAGUGCUUUCAAAAUUAUGGUGAUCCAAUGUCAAUGGUAUUGGGUUUAGAAGCUCUAUGUAGGACUUCCCCUGAUAAGCUAUUCCAUAUUAGAGAUAGUAACAGCCAUUGGAUGUUCCAAAGUAGGCAUGUUAAUGAACCCCAUUGAGUUAGUUAAGGAAAGUAAUCAAUGCUAAUAUCAUUUAAAGUUUGAAUAAACUGUUUCAUGAACUUUUAUAAGGCCUAAAUACCAUACAGUUUCCUACUUUACAAACAUGAAACUACUCUUGUCAGUUUAUCCCAUAAUAAAUAGGUUAAGAAUUGACUAAUAAGAAAUCACAGAGGUAGAUGUCAGUGGAGAAUCAUUAUCAUCUGCCAAGACCAGCAAAGGACCUCUCUACUGAACAUUUUUGUUGUUGAUCUGGAAGUAAUUAUAACAUUUUUAUGAUAAAUAUUACAGAUGACACAAAAAUAAAUGGAUUGGUAAAUAAUAAAAAAUUAUUUUUACAGGGUAAUUUGGACCAUUUGUUGAGCUCUGCUAAUACAUAAUGUUUUCUUAGCCUGAUGUCAAGUUUUAUUUCUGGAAACAAGAAAACUGGUUAUGGAAAGGGGAUUUCUUUGUUUCCAGGCUGCUUUCUGGAAAAUAUGUAAUAAUUCAACAUAAACAUUUGCUGUGACACUUUGGCUUGAUUGUAUAAGCAAGGGAAUAUUUAUUUGUAGCAGGGAGGAAGUUUGACAUCUGUAUGAUGUCAUCCCAUGUCAUGAUAUGACAUCCCUGUUAGACACCUAACUCACUGUAAAAGGAUUUUGAAAAAAUGGGAAGAGUACCAAGGGGAGAGAGCGAACAGUCACACUUAUUAGAGAAAUGGAGGAAAUGUCCCUCUCUGGAGAGCAUGUUUCCAAUAGUGACAAAGUUAGAUAUUAAUUUUUUUAGCUUAUCAAAAUAAGGAGAAUUGAUUGCAUUAUAUACAUAUUUUUACAUCCUGUGUAUUAACAUAGGAUGGAAAUCCUCAGUACAAAUGGGACUCUACACUGCAAAGGCUGGAAAUUAGAGCUAAAUUAGAGUCUGCAUUUGUAAAAGUAAUUUGCAGCUGGGAAAAAACACAAAAAUAGGAGCAGAGAUGUAGUAAAUUUUCUGUCUUUGUUUUUGAGUUAAAUGUGGAUAUCAUUUGUUAAAUUACACAUUGGUUACAUGCAAGUUAUUUGGAUUCAAGGUGGGAAUAAACUAUAAUAGCCUGCAAUAUAGAGAAUGCCUAGCUAAUUGAUUUUCCGGCCAAAAGCUCAGAGAAUCUCUUGUGAGUCUGAGAGCCAGACUUUCUGUCCUAUAGAUUUUUGGGCUUCUUAAAUGAGCUCCUAUACAAGCAGUGCAGACAGUAAUUCUGAUCCAUGAUCAAUAUAGUUACUCAGUUUCUUUGUUACAAGGUUCUGCACGCAUGGCCCUCCUUCUGCAAUAGUUCUUGUCACAAAUUGUUCAUUCAGUGGAACAAACUUAAUCAAGAGUUGUGCCUCUUAGCUUUACCUGAUAGAAGUGAGCUGUCAUUAAUCGAGAGUGCAUCAACAUAGACUUGCUCAGGCAAUUGUCGUGAAUUGCUAUUGUUCGCUAAACAUUCACUUGAAUAUUUUUAUACAGCAGCAACACAGACUUGUGCUAUGGACAUCUGUAUUGAUGGCAUCCAUAUUAGGCACCAAACUGCUUAUAAAAGGAUUUAGAAAAAUGAGAAAAAAUUAUAUUUCAAAAUUCUGGAGACUAAUUUGUUAAUUUGCAUGCAUAAACCAUAAUGUAUAAUUGUAUGUAUCAUUAGUAUAUAUGCACUCAGCUGCCAGUAUAAAUUAAUAAUUGCACUUAGCAAUUAGAAUUCUGAUGUUUUUGCAUUGAAGCCUGGGGGAGCUCCUAUAUUUGAGCUUAUUAGAGGUAUUAAAGUAUGGUAGGACAUCCUUCAUCUACCUUGAUUUACUUUCUUAGCCACUUGCAACUCUUUUUUUAUCUUCUUUUAGAAGGAUAUGACAAACCAAAUACUAAAACAUUGUUGAUUUAUUUGCAAGAUACAUUGCUCACUUUGCUUUCUACACAUUCUACAAUUUGAUGUAGUCAACAGCAUUUUGUGUAUGUGUUGUAUGUAUAUGCAUACAUUUAUAUGUAUGUUGUAUAUAUUUACAAGUAUCCUGAGCUGUAUUGGAAA